rnacentral:rRNA from 1 species
UACGGGGGGGCAAGCGUUGUUCGGAAUUACUGGGCGUAAAGGGCUCGUAGGUGGCCAACUAAGUCAGACGUGAAAUCCCCAGGCUCAACUUGGGAACUGCGUCUGAUACUGGAUGGCUUGAAUUCGGGAGAGGGAUGCAGAAUUCCAGGUGUAGCGGUGAAAUGCGUAGAGUAUCUGGAGGAAUACCGGUGGCGAAGGCGGUUCUCUGGGCCUGUACUGACGCUGAGGAACGGAAAGCGUGGGGAGCGAACAGGGA